rnacentral:rRNA from 1 species
UGAGGAAUAUUGGUCAAUGGACGCAAGUCUGAACCAGCCAUGCCGCGUGCAGGAAGACGGCUCUAUGAGUUGUAAACUGCUUUUGUACGAGGGUAAACUCGGAUACGUGUAUCCGUUUGAAAGUAUCGUACGAAUAAGGAUCGGCUAACUCCGUGCCAGCAGCCGCGGUAAUACGGAGGAUUCAAGCGUUAUCCGGAUUUAUUGGGUUUAAAGGGUGCGUAGGCGGUCGGAUAAGUUAGAGGUGAAAUCCCGGGGCUCAACUUCGGAAUUGCCUCUGAUACUGUUCGGCUAGAGAGUAGUUGCGGUAGGCGGAAUGUAUGGUGUAGCGGUGAAAUGCUUAGAGAUCAUACAGAACACCGAUUGCGAAGGCAGCUUACCAAGCUACUUCUGACGUUGAGGCACGAAAGCGUGGGGAGCAAACAGG